UAGGGAAUCUUCCACAAUGGACGCAAGUCUGAUGGAGCAACGCCGCGUGAGUGAAGAAGGUUUUCGGACCGUAAAGCUCUGUUGUUGGUGAAGAAGGAUAGAGGUAGUAACUGGCCUUUAUUUGACGGUAAUCAACCAGAAAGUCGCGGCUAACUACGUGCCAGCAGCCGCGGUAAAUCGUAGGUGGCAAGCGUUGUCCGGAUUUAUUGGGCGUAAAGCGAGCGCAGGCGGAAGAAUAAGUCUGAUGUGAAAGCCCUCGGCUUAACCGAGGAAUUGCAUCGGAAACUGUUUUCUUGAGUGCAGAAGAGGAGAGUAGAACUCCAUGUGUAGCGGUGGAAUGCGUAGAUAUAUGGAAGAAUACCAGUGGCGAAGGCGGCUCUCUGGUCUGCAACUGACGCUGAGGCUCGAAAGCAUGGGUAGCGAACAGGAUUAGAUACCCUGGUAGUCCAUGCCGUAAACGAUGAGUGCUAAGUGUUGGGAGGCUUCCGCCUCUCAGUGCUGCAGCUAACGCAUUAAGCACUCCGCCUGGGGGAGUACGACCGCAAGGUUGAAACUCUAAAA
rnacentral:rRNA from 1 species